CCCGCCCGCACCCGCCCGUCCGACUAGCAUCACUACUCUGGACAGUUCUGACUUAGAAUAUAUGGACAACUACAAAUACCUACAUGUCUGGCUAGACUGUAAACUCUCCUUCCAGACUCAUAUUAAGCAUCUCCAAUCCAAAAUUAAAUCUAGAAUCGGCUUCCUAUUUCGCAACAAAGUCUCCUUCACUCACGCUGUCAAACAUACCCUCGUAAAACUGACUAUCCUACCGACCCUCAACUUCGGCGAUGUAAUUUACAAAAUAGCCUCCAACACUCUACUCAGCAAACUGGAUGCAGUCUAUCACAGUGCCAUCUGUUUUGUCACCAAAGCCCCAUAUACCACCCACCACUGCGACCUGUAUGCUCUCGUCGGCUGGCCCUCGCUACAUAUUCGUCGCCAGACCCACUGGCUCCAGGUCAUCUAUAAGUUAUUAUCACUGGAGGCUUCGUGCCAUGGAUCAUCACUGGAGGCUUCGUGCCAUGGAUCAUCCCUACAGGUUCCGGGCCAUGGAUCAUCACUGGAGGCUUCGUGCCAUGGAUCAUCCCUACAGGCUCCGGGCCAUGGAUCAUCACUGGAGGCUUCGGACCAUAGAUCAUCCUUGGAGGCUUCCUACGUGGAGCUGGAACCGGUCUCACCGGACUGGGGAGACACACAGGAGACUGGGUGCGCAGAGCAGUCACAGGGUAUACUGGGCCGUGAAGGUGCACUGGAGGUCUGGAGCUUAGGGCUGGCACACCCCGUCCUGGCUGGAUGUUUAUUUUAGCCCAGCAAGGGCGGAGCGCUGGCACAGGACGAACUGGUUUGUGCUGGUGAAUGGGGGGUACCGUGAGUAGAGCUGGCGCAGGAUAACCUGGGUUUAAGAGACACACUGAAGACCAGGAACGUUGGCUGACUGCCAACUCUAGCACGGCAACUGUGAGGAGCUUGCACUGAGCGCACCGGGCUGUGAGUGCGCACUGGCGACACAGUGCGCAUCACCGCAUAACACGGUGCUUGCUGGGUCACUCGCUCCCCACGGUAAGCAUGGGGAGUUGGCUCAGGUCUCAGCCCCGACUUCGCCAAUGUCCCCGUGUGCCCCCUCCCCCUAAUUUUUUUUGCCCUGCCUCUCGGGCUUCCGUUGUUGCCGUGCUUGUUUCUCCCAGUAUCGCCGUUCCGCUUUCGCUGCCUCUAUCUCCUCUUGCGGAUGGCAAUACUCCCCAGGCCUUGUCCAGGGUCCUGCCCCAUCCAGGAUUUCCUCCCAGGUCCAGUCCUCCUGACCACGCUGCUUGGUCCUUUGGUGGUGGGAUCUUCUGUAACGGUUGUCCAAAGGAGUAGACCAAGGUGCAGCGUGGUAAGUGUUCAUCUUGAUAUUUAUUUUUACUCAGAACACUUAAACAAAAUAAUAAACAAUGGUAAACGACCAUCACGUCUUGCUGGCUUACCGAGCAGUACAAAAAUAAGAUCCCACAACUCAAGGAGGGAAAAAGGGCUGCCUAAGUAUGGUUCCCAAUCAGAACCAACGAUAGGCAGCUGCCUCUGAUUGGAAACCAUACCUGGCCAAAACACAGAAAUAUAAAACAUAGAAUGCCCACCCCACACCCUGACCUAACAAAAUAGAGAAAUAAACCGUCUCUCUCAGGUCAGGGCGUGACACAACACCCACUCGUAGCAUGCGCUCCAGCAGGUAUAUCUCACUGGUCAUCCCCAAAGCCAACACCUCCUUUGGCCGCCUUUCCUUCCAGUUCUCUGCUGCCAAUGACUGGAACGAAUUGCAAAAAUUGCUUAAGUUGGACACUUAUAUCUCCCUCACUAACUUUAAGCAUCAGCUAUCUGAGCAGCUUACCGAUCGCUGCAGCCCAUUUGUAAAUAGCACAUCCAACUACCAAUCUCAUCCCCAUAUUGUUUUUAUUUACUUUUUAAAAAAUUAUUUUGCACACCAGUAUUUCUACUUGCACAUCAU
rnacentral:lncRNA from 1 species